AAUACUUUUCUGUCAUCUGUCGUGGAAAGAUGUUGAUCCAUACAUUUACCUUCUUAUUUAUCAUGGUAUUCAUGUUGGACUACACUUGCUUUCUUACAUAUCAUGGUAUUGUAUAAUGAAUAUUUCUAGGUUGCAUCAAAAUGUUUUUUUCUCUUUGCUGCUUUCGGUACCAUUACCAGAGUUUGUGGAUUAAAAAUUUGGAUACUUCAGAAGCUAAAAUGGCAGAAGAAUUUUAGAAGAUAUGGGCAUGAAAAGAAUCCCAGUAUUCUAGAAGUCUGAGAGCCUUCUUAGAGCCUUCUUUUCCCAUACUUCGGUGGACUACAAGCCCAAGGAUGAUGGUGAUGUUUCCGGAUUCACACCCCAGUUCCCUUUCUCCACCCUCAGCUACUCCUACAUCAUUCAGCUGACAUUGCCAGUCAGGCCACGUUCUGCCUUGAGAUGAAACCUACUCCGCUUUUCAGGGGGAAGAUCGUAAUCAACGUCUUAACCAUGUGUUGCAUGAUGAAGAGUCUGCUCCGUCGGCCAAAACCAGGGCGGACUCUUAUGGUCAUGCAACGCCGCGUGGGGGAGUUGCUCUUUUCGACUUCGACACGUAGAUGCGCCAGAUUGCGACGUGGGCGCCAUACCACUAUCCUUCGCUGUGGCACAGCACGACAGGCUGACGACGCACCGAAGGACGCAGCUUCCCUGGCUCCGGCCGGCGCGGUAUGGAAGGACAAAGAGGUUGGUUUCUUCUAAUUUUACCUUUUGGAAUUUAAAGUCGUGUUAUUUUUCAAAUUUAUCUAAAUAGUUAAUUUCAAAAUCGAUUCUAAUCCCAAAUCUAAUUAAAAGAUUAUCAAAGUCAAUUUCAACUAAUGGAAUAGACUUUAAAAAAAGAAAAAUAGCACGGUGUCAUUGUCACGGUGCCUCUGCCGACAU